ensembl:lncRNA
AAUCAGGGAAAUUAAUCAGUGCUUCAUCUUCUCAGAAUUCUCGAGAGAGAAGCUAGAGAGAAGUUUGGAUGAACAGUGGAGCACCAAAUUGCUAAACUGAAAAUUAGAAGUGCCACCCGAUCACCAAUUUCAGGCCUUAUUGAAAAUGCAGUUGUGGAGAAAUAUGAAAAGACACCCUGCAUGCAUUUUUUUUGCCACAAAUGAACAAAUGAUUUCAGAGACCAGCAAAACCCUAAAUGUCCUCUAUGUUUUCAAUGGCACAUAUGAACCCUACUUAAUCUAUUGGCUUUUUCCUUUGCAAAUGGCAUUUUAAGCAAAUAAUGCCUACAGGUAACUAAAUUAGAUCACAUAAAAUUGCUGUAGACCUGUAUCAUUUUUCUUAGGAGUUGAUCAAGAAUCCUCAGGGCUUUGACAAAUAUAUUUUCACUAUUCUAUAAACUAAUCGAUAUCUUAAUUUUUAGCUGAACAUCCCUAUGAAUUGGCUAUGUACCUACAUUUCCUACAUCAAAACUUAUUCCCAUCAUGGACAGAGAUCUUUGCAAUGGCUGAGUGGUUGAUGAGCCUUCUGGAGAGUGAGGAUACUGAAUUCUUCACUCAUCUUCAGCAGUGUUUCAGAAAGAAUUGUGCAGUUGACCUAAAAGAUUUCCUGGUGGAGUUGAUAGUUCGAGAAAGAGAGAAAGCUCAAGAACUCUACUCCGCCACAGACAGAUCUGAGCAAAACAAACAUCUAACCAAGGAAUUACUGGCAAGCCCAGUAUUUUCCUCAGAAAGUGGAUGGGUGAAGGUUUUGUGAGUAUACUGGAUUUUCCUGCAGUGUUCUUGAUUUGGGAUCAAUUGUACAUGCCAGAUUGGAAUCAAAAGGUGAUGGAGAAUUUCUGUCUCUCAAUCUUUAUGCUAUUAAAGGAUUCACUAAUGGCUGCCAAUGAUUAUCCAGCUAUAAGAGAGGUGUUUUUGUUCUAUGGUUGUCAUCUUCUUACAGCUGAUAUUCAAAGGGCCUGGAUUCAUCUUCAGCAAGGUGGUUUACCAUCUGACAUCCCUGGGCUUAGCAGACAAAAUCAAAGGCCGCUUGCUGAUCUGUCUCCAAGGCUCAGUUCAAUGGAAGCUGGAAAGGUUUCGCUUGGCUUCCAGGACCUCUUGCAAGUUGAAGUGAAGGAUGUUUUACUGAAGCUAGUUUUACCAGUACCACAGGUUGAGAUAUCACACAUUGAAACUUGGUUGAAAGAAUUUGACCCUCUUGCUGUGGAGUUAACAGUUUCAGUAUUUUAUGGCCUUGAAAAACUGUGUUCCAAGACUAGCUCUUUUAAACUCUCUCUUCUACAGAAAACCAAAGGAAAAACAGCAAAAAAAAGUGAAACCACUGAAUUUAUUGUUCGGUUCAAUGAAACAUUUGCCUUUGAUUGUCUGGAUCCAUCUGAGUUUAUAAAUAUGGCAGAAGCUAAACCCUAUAUUGUAUUAAAAGUAGUUUAG